UACGAAGGGGGCUAGCGUUGCUCGGAAUCACUGGGCGUAAAGCGCACGUAGGCGGAUUGUUAAGUCAGGGGUGAAAUCCUGGAGCUCAACUCCAGAACUGCCUUUGAUACUGGCGAUCUCGAGUCCGGGAGAGGUGAGUGGAACUGCGAGUGUAGAGGUGAAAUUCGUAGAUAUCGCAAGAACACCAGUGGCGAAGGCGGCUCACUGGCCCGGUACUGACGCUGAGGUGCGAAAGCGUGGGGGAGCAAACAGGGAUUAA
rnacentral:rRNA from 1 species